rnacentral:rRNA from 1 species
UUAAGUGUGCUGUUAAAGUGCCGAGCUUAACUCCAUCAUGGCAGUGGAAACUGUUGGGCUUGAGUGUGGUAGGGGCAGAGGGAAUUCCCGGUGUAGCGGUGAAAUGCGUAGAUAUCGGGAAGAACACCAGUGGCGAAGGCGCUCUGCUGGGCCAUCACUGACGCUCAUGGACGAAAGCCAGGGGAGCGAAAGGGAUUAGAUACCCCUGUAGUCCUGGCCGUAAACGAUGAACACUAGGUGUCGGGGGAAUCGACCCCCUCGGUGUCGUAGCCAACGCGUUAAGUGUUCCGCCUGGGGAGUACGCACGCAAGUGUGAAACUCAAAUG